UGCAAUGCUUUUGGCAGCGGAUGUCAUAGCAAAAAAGCUCAUCCGAAAAAUGGUUUUAUGAGUAUCUCAAAUACUUAAAUCGUUAAUAAACGUCUUUAAAUUAAGCAGAAGGACAUUAUUCGUUUGUUGCUUCGGGAUCCCAUUUGAAAGGGAACUGGAAAUGUACAGAAAUCGCGUUGCGAGGAACACAGGGAGAUAUUCUAAGUGGUGGAGGACGGACAGCAACCGAAACUCAACGGAUCGGAAUACAAAGAAGAAAAACUAGACGUUAACCUACAUGAAGGUUCACUAAUAAUUGCUAAAAGAAAUUAACGUUCCAAAAAUGGUUCAAAGAAAACAGGAAUAAAAUGAGCCUGAUAGAUCGGAAAAGAUAAAAGCCGGAAGAAUUCUCGUGCAUUGCAAUGAAGCAGGAUGCUAACUACUUGGAUGAGAACCCUCUGUGGAAAGUCUACUUUCGGUGUUCUUCGAAGCGCACCCAAAGGAUAAGGGCAUCGUAUAGUGCGUGGGCUAUCAGAAAUAUAUGCAGAAAUAUAUUCGAUGCUGCGAGACGCCGCACACAGGGGUAAAUGAACCUAAUAAGCGAUCAAAAUUAUUUGCGCACAAACGGUAAACGAUAGACAUUUGAUGUCUUCGCAACAUUUUUAUAUUUUUUGAUGAUCUAUCAAAUUCUUGAAAGAAAAAAGUGAUUUUUUCACCUGGAAGGGAGAUAAAAAAAUUAUUUCUUGAAAUAAUUAGCUUAGCGUCUUGAUGUCUUCACAAAAGUUGUAGAUCUUAUUAUUUUAAGCAACUUUGUUGAAGACAUCAUAAAGAUCGCAUGAAAUUCAAAAAAGUUACGAGCAUUUAAAAAAUAACGAGAAUUUUAACAAGUAAUUUUGAGUUUUUAUUUAAUAUCUUUUUAAGUAUACGAUUUACAAACUUGGUAUAUUUGAGAAAGUUGUUCAAAUUGUUAAAACACACAAUUUUGUAGAACAUUUUAAAUACAUAUUUCAACUAAGAAAGGAGAUAUACUGCAAAAUAUCCAAAAUAAUGCAUUUUUUCUGUAAGUUAUAACCUUAAGAGUUCGGACGAGUUCGGAUAAUUUUUUGAGUGGAUUUUGUUGAUCAAGUUAUUGGCUUUCCAUUGAUAUAUAAAUAAAACAUUAGUUUUGAAUAGAUUUUCUGCAAACUAGCAAUCAAUAAUGAGCUUUUUCCUUUAGAAACACUUAAAAUUCGAAGAAAAAAAACCUCAAUUUUUCCUGUUUUAAGAGGAAAAAGCUCAUUUUUGAUUGCUUGUUUGAACAAAAUCUAUUCAAAACUAAUGUUUAAUGUAUAUAUCAAUGGAAAGCCAAUAACUUGACCAACAAAACCCACUUAAAAAAAUAUCCGAACUCGUCCGAACUCUUAAGGUUAUAACUUACUGAAAAAAUGCAUUAUUUUGGAUAUUUUGCAGUAUAUCUCCUUUCUUAGUUGAAAUAUGUAUUUGAAAUGUUCUACAAAACUGUGUGUUUUAACAAUUUGAACAACUUUCUCAAAUAUACCAGGUUUGAAAAUCGUGUACUUAAAAAGAUAUUAAAUAAACACUCAAAAUUACUUGUUAAAAUUUUCGUUAUUUUUUAAAUGCUCGUAACUUUUUUGAAUUUCAUGCGAUCUUUAUGAUGUCUUCAACAAAGUUGCUUAAAAUAAUAAGAUCUACAACUUUUGUGAAGACAUCAAGACACUAAACUAAUUAUUUCAAGAAAUAAUUUUUUUAUCUCCCUUCCAGAUGAAAAAAUCACUUUUUUCUUUCAAGAAUUUGAUAGAUUAUCAAAAAAUAUAAAAAUGUUGCGAAGACAUCAAAUGUCUAUCGUUUACCGUUUGUCCGCAAAUAAUUUUGAUCGCUUAUUAGGUUCAUUUACCCCUGUGUGCGCCGGCGGCCAACUUUUAAUUGUGGCACCUUAACUGCGGAACAUGCCCGGAAUUUGCUGCCGUAAUCGCCCAGUACACCAUCUGUAAUCUACAAAAUACAGAUCCAGUGCCAUCUAAAGCAAAAGCAUUGCUCGAGCGGAAGUCACUUUUCGAGAUAACCAGAAUGUCACUGGAAUGGUUUGGCUGCAAAAUACUAUUCGAUACACCGAUACU